rnacentral:rRNA from 1 species
GCAAGUCGAACGGAAGGCCCUUCGGGGUACUCGAGUGGCGAACGGGUGAGUAACACGUGGGUGAUCUGCCCUGCACUUUGGGAUAAGCCUGGGAAACUGGGUCUAAUACCGAAUAGGACCGCAUGCUUCAUGGUGUGUGGUGGAAAGCUUUUGCGGUGUGGGAUGGGCCCGCGGCCUAUCAGCUUGUUGGUGAGGUAAUGGCUUACCAAGGCGACGACGGGUAGCCGGCCUGAGAGGGUGACCGGCCACACUGGGACUGAGAUACGGCCCAGACUCCUACGGGAGGCAGCAGUGGGGAAUAUUGCACAAUGGGCGCAAGCCUGAUGCAGCGACGCCGCGUGAGGGAUGACGGCCUUCGGGUUGUAAACCUCUUUCGCCAGGGACGAAGCGCAAGUGACGGUACCUGGAGAAGAAGGACCGGCCAACUACGUGCCAGCAGCCGCGGUAAUACGUAGGGUCCGAGCGUUGUCCGGAAUUACUGGGCGUAAAGAGCUCGUAGGUGGUUUGUCGCGUUGUUCGUGAAAACUCACAGCUUAACUGUGGGCGUGCGGGCGAUACGGGCAGACUUGAGUACUGCAGGGGAGACUGGAAUUCCUGGUGUAGCGGUGGAAUGCGCAGAUAUCAGGAGGAACACCGGUGGCGAAGGCGGGUCUCUGG